UAGGGAAUCUUCCGCAAUGGGCGAAAGCUUGACGGAGCAACGCCGCGUGAGUGAUGAAGGUCUUCGGAUCGUAAAACUCUGUUAUUAGGGAAGAACAAAUGUGUAAGUAACUAUGCACGUCUUGACGGUACCUAAUCAGAAAGCCACGGCUAACUACGUGCCAGCAGCCGCGGUAAUACGUAGGUGGCAAGCGUUAUCCGGAAUUAUUGGGCGUAAAGCGCGCGUAGGCGGUUUUUUAAGUCUGAUGUGAAAGCCCACGGCUCAACCGUGGAGGGUCAUUGGAAACUGGAAAACUUGAGUGCAGAAGAGGAAAGUGGAAUUCCAUUUGUAGCGGUGAAAUGCGCAGAGAUAUGGAGGAACACCAGUGGCGAAGGCGACUUUCUGGUCUGUAACUGACGCUGAUGUGCGAAAGCGUGGGGAUCAAACAGG
rnacentral:rRNA from 1 species